UGAACGCUGGCGGCGUGCUUAACACAUGCAAGUCGUACGAGAACUCUUUAGCUUGCUAAAGAUAGUAAAGUGGCGUACGGGUGAGUAACGCGUGGGUAAUCUACCUUUGAAUUUGGGAUAACAUUGCGAAAGCGAUGCUAAUACCAGAUAAUAUCUUUUAAUUUUCGGAUUUAAAGAUCAAAGAGGGCCUCUACAUGUAAGCUUUUGUUUGAAGAUGAGCCCGCGUACCAUUAGCUUGUUGGUAGGGUAACGGCCUACCAAGGCAACGAUGGUUAGCUGGUCUGAGAGGAUGAUCAGCCACACUGGAACUGACACACGGUCCAGACUCCUACGGGAGGCAGCAGUGAGGAAUUUUGCGCAAUGGGGGAAACCCUGACGCAGCAACGCCGCGUGAGUGAUGAAGGCUUUCGGGUCGUAAAGCUCUGUCAAGUGGGAAGAAACCACAUGGGAUUAAUAUAUCAUGUGUUGACGGUACCACUGAAGGAAGCACCGGCUAACUCC
rnacentral:rRNA from 1 species